rnacentral:lncRNA from 1 species
UAUCAACCAGAUGCUCCGCAGGGCGCAGCUUUAUACGACCGCAGAGGUUGAACCCUGAACGGUUGGGGCAAGUAUGGACACAACAUUCAAGCUGGAUUCAGCUCUAAAUUUGGAUUGUGAUUAAAUAGUUGACACAGCAUAGGUUUCUGACACAGAAUGAAUGUGGUCUAAUGAACUUAAAAAAAAUAUGUUUGCCUUUGAACAAUUCACUAUGCUGUUGAAUAUUAAUCCUCUCAAAAAAAUGUUUGAAGAAAUUUUCUUUUUAUUUAUGAAAUCUGAAAUGAAAAAAAUUGACCCCCAAUUUUUUUUCACAUCCCCCUUUCCCUUAUUUCAAAACUGAUCUCAAUUCAAAUUUCUAAUGAAGUUUGCAACAAUAACUACUCAUUUAAAUACAUCAUAAAAUAUUAAAAUGUAAAAAAAAGUGCUUGUUAUUACUGAAUGGUAAAGAUUGUUUUAAUCUAUCAGUUGGUAGUAAAAGUGAAUAUACAUUGUAUAUUGUAUAAAACAAUGAUUUAAGUUGAUUCAACUACUAUUCUGGACAAAGAAAGAUAACUCCAAUUGAAAUCCAAUUGGAAUUUCUUGCUAUUGCACAAUAUUGUGCAAGUAGAUAUUUCUUGCUAUUGUGCAAUACUGUGCAAUUGAAAAUAUUUGCUAUUGCACAAUACUGUGCAAUUGAAGAUUUCUUGCUAUUGCACAAUACUGUGCAAUUGAAGAUUUCUUGCUAUUGCUGAAUACUGUGCAAUUGAAAAUUUCUUGCUAUUGCACAAUACUUAAUAUAAUAAUUUUGGAUCCUGAUUUGGACCAACUUGAAAACUGGCCCAUAAUCAAAAAUCUAAGUACAUGUUUAGAUUCAGCAUAUCAAAGAGGCCCAAGAAUUCAAUUUUUGUUAAAAUCAAAAUUAGUUUAAUUUUGGACCCUUUGGACUUUAAUGUAGACCAAUUUUAAAACG